GUGGUAUACGCAUCAGUGUUCAUAGAGCUGAAGAUAUAGCAUGCUACAAAGUCAUGUUUCUAGGAAGUAUGUAGAAGUUAUGUUCAAGUUUUGCGUUUGGGGACUUAGGGAAUGAUCAUCUUUGGUUUUUUAUUGGUAAGUUGUUGGAAUUCAGUAGAUACCAGUUGCCCUGAUACUUUGAAAUAUUUGACACCUGACAGAGUGUAUUGAUGUACCUAAAAGAACAGAUUUAGAGUUUAAAAGUAGCAUUCAACUUUAAGGCUGUUAUAAGUUCUUAGAAUAUCUUACUGCUGGAAGUUGAUGAGCACUCCUAAAUGUUCGAGGCUUGGAUUUGAAACAAGCAGGUGACUCUAAGAACCUUUUUCCUUUUUUUCUUUUUUAUUGCACAUUACCAUUAGGAAGGAGUGAGACUGAGUCUCCUGACCCAUCCGUAGUUGUAGCUAAGCAAAUUUAUCAAUUCUUAUUUUUGUCGUAUUCUAACUUUUUGUCAUGUAUUCUUUGCAUAUGAUGAAGUCCUAAGUGUUAUUUAUGAGCGGUGUAACUACAUGGGUCAGGAAAAAGUAUUCUAUAUUCCUAAAGUUCUGUGGAGUUGGGAGUUUUGGUACACAGUGGUAAUGUGCUGUGUUUUAUGCUGUUAUUUUGUGCAGUUAAAAAAGUAUGCUAAGAAACAGCAAAUUUUGGCCUUUCAAUAGAUAUUAGGAGAUGAAGAGAAUUUUGUCAGUAGCAGUUUUUUACAUUGACCUAGUGUCUUAGCUGUGAAUUUAUUUCAAGUGUUCUGAAUUGUAGUUGUGGGGAGAGUGGUAGUACUUAAUGCACAUUUUAGUAUACAAUAGUAAAAUAAUGUUUAUUUUGCCUAAGAUCAUGGAAGCUAGGAUGAGAAGAUUGUAAAGUUAACACUGAAUGUGUUUAAAAAUACUUGAGGUUCAGUCUACAUUUAUUGCAGUUAGUAACCCAGCUAUAGAUUUUUGUUUAAAUAGCAACUGAAAAAUAACAGUAUUUUUCUUUGAUGAAGUUUUAGAGAUCUAUUUUAAGGUUCAAUUUUCCCUGUGAACUUUGAAAUAGAAACAUUAUCUUAACCAUUAUUACUCUUGAAAUUAUUCUGUUAGAAUGGUUGUGUGUCAUUUGAGCAUUUUAUUUAAAAGUGUGGUAUUAAAAUUUCAAGGUGGACAAAUAACUGAAAUGCUUUACUCUGUAGUCCAGUGCUGUAAGAACUCUUACUGUAAGAGCUGUUUCUGAUCACAUAUGGCUGAAGUUAAGUGAAAUGUAAUGAUUGAUUCCAAAAAUUGUUACCAAAUGAUUUACAGGUUAACUUCAUGGAAACAGGAAACAAUUUAUAGUUUAGAAUGAAUUCAGUGUUAUAUCAGUGAAUUAGGUAUUAUAAAUUUUUUGCCAGAACACCUGGGUGCUUGCUUUUACUAUAAUUUCCCUUGCUUGAAUUAGAUAUUUUAAUUUUUGAAAAUAUUAGCCAUAUAUAAAGUAUCAAUUGUGUAUGUAUUUUUAAAAGGUAGCCAGUAUAGUGCACUAUGGGACAAAUCUAAGUUUUGUCACCCUGGGAUUUUACUUUUGAAAGGGGACCUUGAGAACCAUCUUAUUUUGCAGUUGGGCUGAGACCUCUAUAUUAAAAAAAAAACAAAAAAAACCAAAAGCUUAAUCCAGUAGAGAUUUGUUGGUUGACUUUAGUUAGAAAUAUCUUUUAGGUUACAUAACUGUAAUAUAUAGUGUUGUUAACUGAAGUAACUAAAUUUGGAGUAUACAUUUAAGAAUGUAUUUUGAGUUUUGUUGAAUAGACUUCUAUAUAUGUGUAUGGGUCUGAAUUAAAAACUAAUUUUAUGAUAUCUAUGGAGUUAGAGUUGAUGAGAUCUGCUAUAUAUUUUUAAAUAGUUUUAUUUUUAAGUAGUGAAUUUCCUGAGUGACUUCCCCCAAAGAUAAGAAAAGCUCACAUUCAAAAUCAUAAUAUGGUGAGGAAUUACUCCUCUGAACAGAUUAUAUGUUUGUUCUUUUUAUUGUAUUUUAUGUACUUUCCUUUCUCUUUUAAAAAUUGAUUGGUUUGCUGUUAUGAACCUAGAUAUUCUCAAAAAAAUUAUACAGAGUGUAUUUGACAGUGAUGGAGAAAGGAAAAGAUAGGCCAGAAGUACUUUCACAUUUAGGCCUUAAUUAAUUCAGCAAAUGGUUAUUGAGUGAGUACCUAUUGUGGGCCAGGCACUCUGGAACUGAAUUGGCAUUAUCUCAAGUUCCUCUUUAUUCUUUUCUGUAUCAAUUUUUAACUUUUAUUGCUUGGAGAUACCAGCCUUUGGAAGGAACCGUAGAAUUGUAUGUUAGAUUUUCAGCAACUGAGUAGUGUUUGCUGCUUUUUGUGGGAUCAGCUGUGUAGAAGUAGUUCUUUUUUUUUUUUUUUAAGAGUUUUUGUGAACACACUUGAACUUAAGUGUGUUUUCACACUGAUAAAUAGGAAAAUCCAUGGGAUACUAUGAUCUAAAAGUUUAAUCUAUGUUGUAAGGGAAAUUUCUGAGCUAGCUUUAGGGUUGUGGUAGUUUAUGGUAAGUGUAUUUAACUUGAUGUGUUUACUAUGUGCCACACAUUACUUUAAAGCUGUACAUCUAUUAACUCAUUUAAUUCUCAUACAUAUCCAUGAAGUAGGUACUGUUAUGUUACAAGUGAAGAAACUGAGGCAUAAAAGAGGUUUACUAAUUUCUCUAAGUCGCAGAGAUAUUAAGUGGCAAAGCUGGGAUUUGAACUUGGGCAGUCUGGCUCCAGUCUUUGUAACAGCUUUAGCUACCUCCUGCCUCUUGGGAGUUGUUACAUACAGUGCCUGACACUGCACUCAGGUACACAGUUGUGAAUAUUUUUGGUGUUAAUUCCAUAGCACAUUCUCUAAUUAUGAAAGGCCAUAUGUCCUUCUACCCCCUACCCCUUCUUGGUUUGUGUCCCUUUUUUCUCUUUCUAUCAUAGAAUGAAUUCUAAAACUGACUUUGAAUCAGUGAUAAGAAUGUAUCAGAAACCAAAGAUUAUGAAAAAUCUAGUUUUGUGUGCCUGAGAUCUAUAAAAAAAUAAUUUUGUUUACAUGACAUUUUAUUUCUCUUAAAGAUAAUUUCUGUGCUUAUUAAUUUUCAUUUUAUUUAUCACUGAAAUUUUCUGAUUUGCACUUUGGGAUUUGUUGCAUGGUUGUAAGUAGAGUGCUUUCAUUUUGGACCAAAUGUUGCUUUCCCUUGAAUUGUGGCAUAUAGGUGAGAGUGAUAGUGUGACACUGGCUUAAAUAACAACUUGCUUCUUGAAAAUUUAUUUGCUUUUGAAAGAUUUUACUGUAAGAUAAUUUGUUCAUUUAUUUCAUUUAUUCAUAUAACAAACAUUUAGAUGCCUACCGUGAACAAUGAAUUUAGGAUUUAGGUCUUGUUGAGGAUUAAGGUAGAGAGAUGUGAAAUAAAUAUUUUUGGAAUUAUUUUUUAGUUUAUGAAAUACAGCUUUUAGUUUAUACAUUCUUUUGUCAUAUCAAUUAAGCAUUGUGAAUCUCAGAAAUAAUGAGAUGUUUCUUGGGUGGGGCUGUAUUAUUUGAGGUUGUGAUGGUCUAUUUAAAAAAUUAUCUUGGGGCGCCUGGGUGGCUCAGUCGGUUGAGUGUCCGACUUCAGCUCAGGUCACGAUCUCGCGGUCCGUGAGUUCGAGCCCCGCGUCAGGCUCUGGGCUGAUGGCUCAGAGCCUGGAGCCUGCUUCUGAUUCUGUGUCUCCCUCUCUCUCUGCCCCUCCCCCAUUCAUGCUCUAUCUCUCUCUGUCUCAAAAAUAAAUAAAUGUUAAAAAAAAAUUAAAAAAUUAUCUUUAGGGGCGCCUGGGUGGCUCAGUUGGUUAAACAUCUGAUUCUUGAUUUUGGUUCAGGGCAUGAUCUCACUGUUGGUUCAUGAGAUCGAGUCCCCAGUCCCCCUACUUAGGAUUCUUUCUCUUUACCUCUUUUUCUGCCCCUCCACCCCUCUAAAAAAAUAAAUAAACACCAAAAAAAAAAAAUAUCUUUAGACACUGAGUCUUGGAAGGAACCUUUUCAGGAAUAAUUUUCACCUUGAUAUCAAAUUUCUGGGUUCAUUUUACACACAGAAAAAUCUAGCUUAUGUUCCUUCUUACUAGUCCAGAAAACUGUACUCUUAAUGAUAAUUAACCACGUCAUUGAAAUGUUAUUUUGUGGAGUAGUAUUGUGGAACAGAGUUAUAAUUUGCAGAAGCAUUACAAUUGGAAAGGGAAGAGAAAGUAUUGUCAACUAAUGUUAUUGUUUAGUUAUUACCAUAUUUAGGUAACUUAGAGUAGAAAGAUCAAGCGAUACAUUUAAAACCUUCUAAGUUACGUCAGUACAGUAAACUCUUAGUAUACUGAAUCCAAAUUAUUUUUCUUAGUGGAAUUUGACAUUUUAAAUUUGUAGAAUAAAUGGGACUUUGACAGGAACUUAGAUUUUUGAUGUAGGGAUGCAAAUAUGUUUUCAUAUUUGAAAACACUGAGUUAAGAAUAAUAAAGCUUUGAUUUAGCUAUUUGGAAAUGGCCUUUAUAGUAAGAUUGAUGCUACAUCAAUUUUCGGUGACUCUAAUUGGACUGUGAGGAAAAGCUGGCUAGAAAUAAAAAAUAAAAAUUUGUUACUAACAAUUUAUCGAGGUAGAUUAAAUAUAAAUGGGGUUAGGAAUUGACUUUGUCUCAGCAGACUUGUUCUUAUUUAAAAAAAAAAAAACCCAGAAAUUUAAAAAUAAUUCAGGCAGAGAUAUAUUUAUAAUGCAGUAUUUAUUUAAAUUCAAUCAACUGUACAGGUAAUUUUUGGUCUUCUAGUUAGCUUGUGAGCUCUGUGUGUUUUGGUAAUUUUCAGUCCAUGACACACCCUGAAAGAAAAUUUGAGCUACUAAAGCAACCUUUGGUUUAGCCAUUGCUAAUCAAAACUUCUAUACCUAGCCAAUGCACACAACCUAAACAUUUUUCUUACACUUAACAGUUACUAGCACUCUACUCUUUUUUGGACUAAUUUCUAAUAAAUUGAUGAAAUAAAGGGAAGAAAUUAAUGAAGACAUCAGAUACUACAAAGUGCUUCAGGAAUAGGACCUAGAGGAUCUAACCAUUUUGACCUUUCUUUGCCCUGUAUCAGUAGGCCAAGGGAAUGUAAGCAGUUGCUUAUAGAAACCUAUUAAUAGCUAACAUUUGUUAAAGGGCUAACAAUGCAUUGAGUACUGUUCUGAGUGCUUUGACAUGUUUUCUUAUUGAAGGCUCAGAAGAAUUUGAGAUGGUUAAAUUUUAUAGGUGUAAUAUAUAUAAUAGCCAUUUAAUAACAUUUAAUAAUACAGGUUUUCAUUAUGGCUUCUCAUAAAACACCAAAUGAAAAAUGUAUGCAAAAUACAUUAUCUUCUUGUCUUUGCUGCCUGUUUUUUAUUUAGUUCAUCCUGACAUAUGAGCCAGUGUUUUUUUAUAUUACACUUAUCUUUAAUAUUAUGAAAGCAAAUAGAUAAUAGGAUUUUUUUCUUUCUAUUUACAGUAUUGGAGAAAGUAUAUUUUCUAUACUGACUUGGAUCUUAGCUAUAUAAGAGGACUGAAUCUGGCUGCCAUGUUGGCUGGUUAAAGUAGAAUUAAGAAGAUUUUUAAAAAGUGAACUGGGAAGUGUUAAAAUUAGAAUAAUGAAUACUUUUCAUGUUCUGAUUUAAACAUUUUUAAAGAAACAAAUGAUUGUUACGCAUAGGAAUUAUUAAGAGCCUCCUUCUGGUAAAGUUGUUUACCAGUUGGCUACUUAUGGGUGGAGUCAGUUCACAAAGGACCUGCAGCAGAUGAAUUAGACCUGUAGCGACUUCACCCUUCUGCUUUUCCCAGCUGGAGCAGGAUUAGGACUCAUUCAGCUGCAGCUGGUUCCCAGGAAAAUCUAGACUGCUUCUUCUGGUGUUUUCCUUUGACAGGAAAGUCAUAGUUCCCGACAGAUGGCUUUCAUCAGCACUGUACAUAACUCUGUAAAUUCAAGUCCAAAGAACUACUCUCAACUUCAUUAGGGAACAGGCAAAGAAACUGUUUGUAAUAUGGUAUUAUUUGGUUAAGGGUUGAAAUUAAGCAUAGGGAUUAUAGUGGUGUAGUAUUUCGAUUUGCAGAAUGCCAUACUGGGUCAAAAUAGUUUUUAACUGCUGGCAAUUAAAAAAAAAAAAAAAAGACCUAAGGAAAAAUAAGUCUAGCUAUGGUGUUAGGUAUAUUUUAUACUUGGAUUAUAUUAUGCUUACAAAGUACAGAUAAAUUCUUUGAAAAAAAGAAUCUUUUGCAUUUUGUAGAAUUUUGAGCCAGUAACAGUCUUGGAUAACAGUAUUUCUAAUCUUAUUUCAUGAAUAGAGAAAUUGAGGGUCAAAGAGAUUUAAGUGUCUAGUUCAGUGCCGUGCAGCAGGUUAAUCUGGGAGAAAGUGGUCAGACCCUUCUCAGUUCUUUGCUUUUUUUCUCAUUAGGCUGUAGUACUGCUUUAAAGUGUUAGAGAGCAACAAGUAUAAAAUAAUGUAUUUCUUAAUGGAAACCAUAGAAUAAACUCUGGUCUAGAGAGUUUUGGUGGUUUUUAUAAACCACAAAUAUGUAAAUCAGCUUGUUUCAGUGUUUGAAGAUAGCUGUACAUUCUUGAAAGUUGAAGCAAUAUUUUAUCAUUUUGUAAAAGACUGCUUUCUUAUGGUCCACAUUAGAGGAAUUAGAAAGUGGUCCUCUGUUUUUAGGUAUGUAUCAGAAGAACAUGUUGAGCUACCAUAAUGCUGGAAGAGAAAGUACUUGAAUUUUGAAAGAAAAAAAAAAGGUCUGCUUAUAGUUAAGUCUGAUUUUCAGAAAGUUGACAACAUAGAUCUUUGGAGUGACUUGGAUAAUUGGUUAGAACUUAAAAUGUUUAGGACUGAGAUAGAAAGGUACAAGCUUUUCUAUUAAUGAAGUAAUUCUUAUUAAAGUCAUUAAAUAUGGGGAAAACAAAUGUAGAGUCUACCAUGCAUUGUUAUGUAUACAUAGAAUCUUAAUUCUGGGUGAUGAUUUGUAAUAGGAAACAAACCUUAAAAGAGAAGGCAGCAAACAGAUUAUGUUUGUCUUUUUUGGUCGUUUUGACUAACAGUUCAUCUCUGCAUUAUUUUACUUUGUGGUAAAAUUUUGCAGUGCGUUACAGUAAUGGCAAAUAAAGAUUGAGAUUGGAGACAGUUAUUUAUACAAUAACUGGGUGGUUUUAAGAUUAUUGGUAAAACUGAUUAGGGAGAAAAUGACGUGGAAAGAAAAUCUGUCAGCUAAAAAACUUAAAGUUUUUGUAUGUGUGAAAGAAGACAGCUGAUUCCUUUGCCAUUUACCUUUCGUGCAGAAGGUAGAGAUUCCGUGUGUGUGUGUGGCAAGGGGUGGGGGGUGGGGGGUGGUGUUAUCAUGCUUAUAUUAUAGGCUGCUUUUUCCUCCAGGGAAUUGUGAACUGUAGUUGACCUGGAGAGGUGCUGUUAAGUUGGUUUUCAAUUCUUUCUGCUUAGUAGACUGCAGGUUUUUCUUUUUCUUUCAUUGGCUACAGUGAAGCAUUUAACUCCUGAGUUUUCUAGAACCUGUAACAGAACCCUUAGAAACAUUAUUAAAUUUUUUUGUGUGUUGAGUGUGAUGCUGUGCUUUAGGGUGGUUUCCCAACUUUUCUGUUGAGCAUAUCUUUAAAUAUCUGACUUAGGGUUUAGAUCCUCUUUUACCAUUUUCCUGCUUUAGUUAUUUAAUUUCUUCUCAUGCCAGUAAAUUCUUACUUAAAUUUGUAACUUAAAUCUAAAGCAGUGAUACUAAAUCCAUUUUUGACCCAAGGAGCCUCAAAAAAUAGACACCAGGGCAGUUAAAUUUAGCAGUGGGGCCCAGAGAUGAGAUUUUUUAAAUUUUGUUUUGUUUUGAGGUCGCCAUGUGCAUCUUCAGUACAGCCAGGGUUGAAAACCCUCUAUUUGAACUUGCUGAGGGGGUUAGGACAGAAGCAGAUGCUUUUUACCUAAUCAUCGAAAUUCAGACAAAUUCAUGAAACAACAUACUUCACCCCCACUCUCAUGAACACACUUUGAACCAGGACAGUGUACUUAUGGAAACCUAAAUUUUGUUUUAUCCUACUUCCUGACCAUAAGUGCCCUAAUGUUUCACUUUUCUCUCCUACGCACCUGCUCUUUUUUUUCUCGUCAGGGUCUCAUUUGGUGCAUAUUCUGGAGAAGGUUCCAUGUGUGAGUUUGAUGGGUGCCCCCCUCCCACCACUCUAAUGCUUUUCUUCUAAUUGCUUGGCCUUAUGGUUUAUCACCUCAGUUACUCGCUUUACUCCUCCAAUUGGCAAACCCCAGACUUGACACUAAGCCAAUCAUUUUUCUCUCCCUGCUUCUUAUGUGACUGUUUAUCAUUUUGAAGAAAAUUACACGAACCAUGUGGUGGGAUGCCACUUACAAAUUUGUAACAUCUAAUCAGUUCUGUUUUGGGAUGUAUGUCUGUGUCUUUAGUCUGUUCUCUCUGCAGCAGUUCAGUAUUUCCUCCAGCCCUUUCGCUUUUCUCAUUGUCAGCUGACCCUCCUGUAUUCUCCUUCACAGAAUGGAAUCUCUCUGGCCAUAUGAGCUCAUUCAGUUUAUACCCCUCCCACACAAACCUACAUAUGUCUGUACGUAUUUUACCCCCUUUGCUACCUUUUCAGAGGUUAUAAAAGAAGUGUCUUGUCUAGAGCUCAUCUCUCUGUGUAUAGGAAUCUGUUCUCUCCUGUCUCGGGGGCUUUGUUCCAUCAAUAAUAUUCCCAGUCUUCCCCUUAACAUGGGGAAGUCUCUCCCAUCAAAUUAGAGUAAAAGCAAACAAAAACACUGCUCCAAAUCCUUCUCUACAUCUACACUCUAUUGUCUUCCCUUCAUUUUGAAACUCCUUGAGAAAAAGUCUGUAUUCAUUCCAUAUCUGUUGCAAUCUGCCCUUUGGCCUAGAGCACCAUUGGAAACAGCUCUUAUGGACAGUUUUCAGUCUUUAUGUUACCUGACUUCUCUGCAGCAUUUAUGGUUGUUAACCAUUCUCUCCUCCCUUGACCUCUGGGAUAAUUUUUUGCUAGGUGUCUGUUUCUGCAUCUUUCUGAUUAUUUUCAGUUUACUGGCUCCUUAUCUUUUGCCUGAAUCUUAUAUAUUGGACUCCCUAAGGUCCUGAUCUGUGCCUACUUGUUGUUUCAACCAUUUGAGUUCUGUCUAGACUUAACCUUCACUAUACUAAUGACUAAAUUCAUAACCCAAACCUCUCUUUUGAGCUGUAGACUUGUAUAUCCCACAGUGUAGUGUCUUUUCUCAGCCAUUUCAAAUUCAGUGAUGACCCAGAUGGAAUGGAAUUUAUCACCUUCAACUUGUUCUUUUGAUUUCUUACUGUGGUACAAGACAUUGACAUUGACUCUGAUUCCUAAAAGAAACUUUGGUAUUCUACACUUCACUUGCACUUCUUUUGGAUUCAGCUCUAGUCUGCCCCCAGUCUUUUCUGCUUCUUUAACGUCUUUUAAUUAACUGCUAUUCCAGCUGCUACUCUCUCAGUGCAGGUCCUUGUCAUUUCUCUCCUGAUUUACCUCAGUAGUUUCCUCAUUGGUGUUCCUUCCUCCAGUAUCCUUUCCCUCCAGUCCACAUUAUUGCCAAGAAUGAUCUUGUUAAGAAGUGAUUAAGAACACAGGCCCAAGAACCAGACCAUCUGGGUUUGCAUCCCAUAUUGGCAGCACUUGCUUUAUGGCCUUGGGUAAUUUGCUUAAUUUUUCUUUGCCACAUUUCUUUCUAUAAAAUGGAGAUAAUACAGUACCUAUCUCAAAAUGAAGUUUUGAAGAUUUAAUGAGUUAAUAUGUAUCAGUGUUGUCUAAUAGUGCUUUGUGUGAUGAUGGAAUGAAUGUUCUAUGUCUGUGCUCACUACAGUAGCCACUGGCCAUAUGUGGCUCUUGAAAUGUGGUUGUUUGACUAAAGAACUUUAAUUUAAUUUAAUUUAACUGAAAUAGCCAUAUGUCUAAUAGUUACUGGACAGUACAGAAUACAUAAAAUCCAGUGCUCUAUAAAUACUAGCUAUUAUUACCAUCUUUCUGAAGUUAAACUUACUUCUCUGGUUAAAAUUCUUUAGUGCCAAAUUCUUUGGUAUAGAGUAUAUAGUUUUUAACCCCCUUCACCCCAUCGCAUUGCUCUGAACUUGUCUACUGCUAUUUCUUAUGCCCUCUGUGUUCCACUAUUCUAGUGGUUUUCAAAGUGUUGUCCCAGGGGUUAGAAGUAGUAGUGUCACCUGAAAAUGUUUGAAAUGCAGAUUCUUGGGCCAUAUUCCAGGCAUACUGAAUCACAAACUGGGGGGUGGGGUCUAGCAACUUGUAUGUUAAUAAGCCCUCCAGGUGAUUAUGAUGCAUGCUAAGGUUUGAGAACCACUGUACAUCCCAAACUACUUGUAGUUCCUCAGAUCCACCUUGUUUUCUAUUGCUCUUGUUUUUCUCCUGUCUGGAAUGAUUAUCCUUUCUCUUUUCUUCACUGAUUAGCUCUUAUUUAAUCUUGCAGGCUUAAUUUAGGCAUAUCCUCUUUCCAUUUCUUUCUUCAUUAUUACUCAUCCUGCUUCCAGGAUGACUUAGUGCUCUUUAUGCCUCUGAGAUCCUGUACAUGCCUCCAUCGUAGCCCAUUCUGUAUUGUAUUGUUGCUUUAGCUUGUCUCCUACUAGACAGGGAAUUUAGGAUCUUGUUUUUUUGUCCUUGUAUCCCUAUCUGGCACAAUGUCUGGUAUGCUUUGUAAGUAUGUAUGGAACAUUUUCAGGUGUCAGCACAGUGAUUAAGUCCUGGGUAAAGGACAUACUGUCUGUGUAAUUAACACAGUGAUAAGGGCUCUGAUGGGGUAAAACCGAGUGCUGUGGAAACACAGGAAGGGGUGGAGAAAACUAGGGAAGUCUUCUCAGAGGAAGUCACAUGUGAGAGGUUAGUGAGGUGGGGAAGCAAAUGGGUGGGGUGGGAAAGAGUGGUUCCUGCAGAGGGAACAGCAUGUACAAAGGCCUAGAAGCAAAACAUUGUAGGCUCUUUAUAAAUGUUUAAUUGAAUAUGAAUAAAGAACCAAAUCACACAUCUAACUUUUAGAUCUUAGUUUUGGAGUCACUACCCUCCCCAGCAAACAUUAGUUAGCAUUUAUUCUUGAUAUACUGCUUUCUUUGAGAUGAUGGUAAGGUGUGAUAGGGUAACCUCCAAGCCAGCAGGAUACGUGUGUGUGCGCGCGCGUGCGUGUGUUUGCUAGCCUUUUAGCGGUAGAAGAUAAGAUUUGUUUCAUCUGAAUUAUUCUGCAGCGUGAGUAUACAUCAGUGGUGGCUGAGGUAAACGCAUUGCUCUCAUUGCUUAAGAAUAGACCAAGAUUUGGGGCGCCUGGGUGACUCAGUCAGUUAAGUGUCUGACUUGGCUCAGGUCAUGAUCUCACGGUUUGUGAGUUGGAGCCCGCGUUGGGCUCUGUGCUGACAGCUCAGAGCCUGGAGCCUGCUUCAGAUUCUUUGUCUCCCCCCCUCUGCCCCUUCCCCACUUUCGUUCUGUCUCUCAAAACUAAAUAAAAAUUAAAACAAAAAAAAAAGAAUAGAGCAAGAUUUUAAACAAGCAACUUGAAACUUAAGAGCACUGACAAAGCAUAUCAUUAAGAAGGCUGAAAGGCUACCAGCAUGACAGCCACAGCUUGGUACUUUUGUAGCUCCACUCUGUAUUGGCCCUUUUUGCCCUUAUUGCUGCCACCCUAGGUUUCCUGUUGGUCUCAUUAACCCUCCAUUGUAAGAGCAUCAAGGCCUUGGUUAAUGUGCUGUGUAAGCUCCAACUUUGAGUUGCAGUUGAAUACCUGCUUUCCUCUGUUUGGGAUUUUACAUAUGUAACUUUGAGUAAAAAUGUACCUUUUUCUUUGAAUGCUUUACAAGUGGGUUGGCUUUGUCAUCUAUUAACUUUGAAAGAACAAUAAAAAUAAAGUUUUGUUUCUAAUAACUUCAGCUAAGCAGAGAACUCUUCAGCAAAGAAAGCUAGAGAAAGAAAAAGUGAAAUAAAGUAUUUCUCCCUAAAACUUCAUAUGGGUGGUAUAAUUAUGUUUCUGAAGUGUUUCACAGAUGAUAAAAGAUUUUGGUUUCACAUAUAUCUUCUUUUGCUCUAACACUUUCGUAGUACGGUAGGCCAUCCAGGUGUUAUGAUUGCUAGAUUUUGUGUAUGGAGAGUUAUAUGGUUCAUUAAGGGAAGAAAUGGAACUAUAGUCCUGGUCUCUUUCAAUCCCAGUACUUCUCAGCAACAUCAGGCUGCUUCUUGUUCAUGAAAAUGACAAGCGUUAAAAAAAAAAGUGGUGUCUUUUACCGUUUAUUACAUACAUCUGUCAAACCAUUUAUCAGGUCAUACAUGUUAUUAAUCUUUGUAUUCACUUUGUAAGAUGCUCAGAAAAUGUUGAACUGAAACUGUCAGGUUUAAACUGGAAGGAGGAAUGAUAGAAAUCAGGUUGACUUAAAAAAAAACAACUAUUAACUCUCUUAGUAAACUUAGAAGCUAAACCAUUUAUCCUCUCAAAAUUUAUAGCCUCUAUAGAUUUAAAAGGGGAGAUAGAGUUUCAGAUGUUUUCUGCAAAUGUUUGAUACAUCAGCUGUAAAGUAUCAUUUGCUACUUCCUUCAAGAUAUUUGUUCUCUAUUACCCAUAAAGUAUUUUAAAAAGUUUAAGAAAUUGUGUUUUCCUAAUAGGUAAUAAUAAUUCAUUAGUGCGUAAAAUUAAAAAAGUACAAAAGAGUUCCAUUAAAAGUAUUCUUUUAACUCCAGUUCCACAAGCAGCCAGUUCCCUUCCUGGGAUGUAGUCAAUGAGUUUGGUUUCUACCCUCCAAAGAGAUUCUCUGUGUAUAUAAGCAGUCACUUAUAUAUAUGUUUUUUUCUCCCAUAUAGAGCAUACCUUAGAGCAUACCUUAAUACACUUUUCUACAUCUUGCUUUGUUUUUCUUCCCGCUUAACAAUGUAUCUUAAAAGUGUGUUCCAUGUCAUUAUAUAAGAUUUGGUGGUAUUCUGUUUUAUGGAUGUACCAUAAUUUACGUAAUUAGUUCCUCACUGAUGGACAUUUCUUUCCAAUUUUUUUUUUUAUUACAAACAGUACUCAGUAACCUCCAUUGUGCAUUAUUUUAGACUUGUAGGUUCCUAGAAAUGGAACAAUUGGGUCAAAGAAUAUGUAUGACUUUGUAAGUUUGGUAUUUCUAAAUUUCUCUCCAUAGAGAUUACCCAACAGUGUAUCAGAGUACUUUUUCCCUACAUCCUUCACAACACAGUGUUAUCAAACUUUUUGAUUUUUGGCAGUCUUAUAAUGAGUGAAAAAUCAUUAUCUACUUAAAGAAAAUUUUCUUUAAUGUUUGUUUAUUUUUGAGAGAGAGAGAGAGAGAGAGAGAGAGAGAGCGAGCGAGCUGGGAAGAGGCAGAGAGAGGGGGAGACACAAAAUCCGCAGCAAGCUCCAGGCUUGAACACACGAGCUGCAAGAUCAUGACCUGAGCUGAAGUCAGAUGCUUAACUGACUGAGCCACCCAGGUGCCCCUAUCCAUUUUUUAAUGUUUAUUUUUGAGAAAGAGAGAGCGAGAGAGAGCGCGCGCACGGGAGCAGGGGAGGGUGAGGGAGACAGGAUCCAAAGCAGGCUCUGUGCUGACAGCAGUGAGCUGGAUGUGGGGCUCAAACUCACAAACCAUGAGAUCAUGACGUGAGCCGAAGUCAACUGCCUCAGCCACCCAGGCGCCCCAAUCCAUUUUUGACUGCAUUCUUUGACUCUUAUUGGAGUUUGUUCUUCCAACCUAGUGCCCAGAGACAGCCUCUGAUCUGUAUUUCUACUACUAGUGUGUCUUAAGCCUGAUUACUUAAAAACAUACAAACAUACAUACUUAGAGGUAAUCAGAAAUUUGUUUAGUUGUUUUUUUUUUAUAACUGCUAUAUGGUGUUGCUUUGAGAAAUAUGUAGGUCGUUUUGCAUGGUCUUUUGUAAGCCUGUAACAACUUCUCUCUUGUAGUGGCCUGUACUGUUAGAUUUCUGUCCUGUAGAAUCACCCUCCACACAUCCACCCGCUCCCUUGCCCCACCAUCUUAGCUUUGUUGCUUUUCUACUGAUGGUGGGGAAACCUUGUUUGAUUGAUUAUGUUCAUGUUUGUCAGUCUUUUUAAAGUGCAUGUUAUAUAGUACUUGCAUUUGAAAAUUUACAUAAUUUUGAAUAAAUAUUAUGUACUAGAUAUUUAAGGAAGAUUGUCUAUUUUUAGAUGAACUAAAGGCUCAUAGAGGUCAAGUGAUUUGCCCAAGAUUAUAUAGCAAAAUAUACGUGCUUAGAAUGUAGAGGCUAGUGGAAUGGUCAAAAGAAAAAAAACACUAUGAAUUCAGAGUUGAGAUAAACUAAGAUUCUGGUAAAUUGGUCCAGUAGUUUAAAGUACUUCGCAAAUUAUUACAACUCUAAUUCUGAUUAUUUUGGGGCUUAUAUAAGAUAUUUAAGGGCCAUACAUCUCAGCCUCAUCACUUAACUUAUUGUUUAAUCUUUAAGUUUAUCCUCAAGUGUCAGUUUCUUUUCUGCAAAAGGGAUAGUAAUAGUAUCUAAAUUACCAAACUCAUCGAGCAACAGCCUUUUUGAAGAUUAUUUUUAGUCUAGGCAGGUCAUAGCUGCUAUGGUUUUUUAGCGUUUGUUUUCAGAAACAAAUAUCAGGAAGUAGUGCUGACUUCCCUUUCUUUUCUUCAGUGAAACAACAAAACAAAUCAGUUUAUUAACCCGCAAAAUAUUGCCAUUGUAUUUUGAAAACUAUUUGAAGUCUUUAUGAACACCUCUCAAUUUUAAGAGGACAUAGAAACAGACAUCUUGAUAGGUUAAAAUUGUUCAUAUACUUUAUAAUCCAUUUAAAUUAGGAUGGACAUUCUCUGGUCAUACUCCUUUGGAAUAGGCAGAAUAUUUGAAUAGUCCCCCCAUUUGGACCUAUUUUUUUUAGUAACAGUGUUUCUCCCCCUACCCCCAUAAAAGAACAAAAUAACAACCCCCUUUGUCAAAGUCAUCAAAAUAAGUCUUUAUUUUAUGUCUUGAAGCUCAGGAUUAGGGUAAGGAUGAAGUCCUGGAGCUGCUGUUUUUCCCCAUGCAAAGUGACCUAGCUCAUAUUAAGAAUCAAACUAAUGAGUUUAAUAUAAUUAAGCACCACAUCGUAUAGUAUGGUUUCUCAAAUUUUCAUCUGGGAAUCUUGUUAAAAUUCGAUUUUAGGUCUUCGGUGAGGCCUGAGAUUUUGCAUUUCUAACAAGGUCCCAAGUAUUCCAUUGCUGAGCAGGAUACACUUUGAGUAACAAGUUUCUGUAGGAUCGAAUCUCUCCUGUACUCUUGACUAAUUGUGUUAAGUCAUAUGCUUAUUUUCAGACAUGCAUUCAGCAGAUAUCCACAGAAUCUCUGUGUUCCAGCUGCUAUGCUAGGUACUGGGAUUAUUAUGUAACAGGGAUACUACAUAGAUACUCUGCCCUUACCAAGGAAAUAACAAUAAAUUACAUGAAGUGGUGAUGCCUAAGUCCAGGGAGCUCUGAGAAUCUAAGUACAAAAACUGCUUUUUAAAAAAAAAAAAAAAAAACAGGAAGAGAAGGAAA